CCUACGGGUGGCAGCAGUGGGGAAUAUUGGACAAUGGGGGCAACCCUGAUCCAGCCAUGCCGCGUGUGUGAAGAAGGCCCUCGGGUUGUAAAGCACUUUCAGUGAGGAAGAACGCCUGGUGGUUAAUACCCAUCAGGAAAGACAUCACUCACAGAAGAAGCACCGACUAACUCCGUGCCAGCAGCCGCGGUAAUACGGAGGGUGCGAGCGUUAAUCGGAAUUACUGGGCGUAAAGCGCGCGUAGGUGGCUUGAUAAGCCGGUUGUGAAAGCCCCGGGCUCAACCUGGGAACGGCAUCCGGAACUGUCAAGCUAGAGUGCAGGAGAGGAAGGUAGAAUUCCCGGUGUAGCGGUGAAAUGCGUAGAGAUCGGGAGGAAUACCAGUGGCGAAGGCGGCCUUCUGGACUGACACUGACACUGAGGUGCGAAAGCGUGGGUAGCAAACAGGAUUAGAUACCCGAGUAGUC
rnacentral:rRNA from 1 species